rnacentral:lncRNA from 1 species
GGGUAUUAGAGUUCUUUUACCUUUGUGAUCAAAAACUUGAAAAUGAUCUAUUUAGGAGAAUUGCCCAUAAAUUAAUUAUAUAUCUUUUUAAUUUUAUAUAUUAAUAUAAUUAUAUAUAUAUAUAUAUUGUAAAUAUAAUUAUUAGAAAUAUAUAAUAAUAUACUAAUUUUUAUAAUAAUUUUAAAAAGCAUAUUCAUACUGCUCUACCAAUCAUUCUAUUAAGUAGUUUAGUAAAAUCAUACAGCUUCUGCAGCAUAAUGCUUUUAUAGCAUACUUCUACUGAUUUAUUAUGUGAUAUGCCAAUCAAAGCAAUAUAUUUAUAAGAAUUUCCUAAGUUUACCCAGUUGUACAUGAUAAGGCAACAUAUGGUUGAUGUUUCCUUGCGAAACACAUUAUGGCCUUAGCAAUGUUUUUUUGAGCUUGUUUCAGGCCUGCCAGUGAGAUUAAUGUGCGAAAGGAUCUUAUAAAAGUUAAACUAGCUUUUUCAAAGAAUCAAGCUAAUGGUUGAUGUUCCCUUGCCUUUAGCUGAUCGGUUCUUUCAGAAACACAUUAAUGGCCAUGGUUGUGGUUCUCUUGCCUUUAACCAGCUUUUGCUUUACGAAACACAAUAUUGGCUUGUAAUUGUGAUCCAAGUCCACAAGUUGUAUCUUGUUACCCAAGUCUUGAACCCUUUUUGUUCUCCUAGCAGCCUUUUUUGUCUGCAUCUGUCAUCUCAUUUUCAACUUGGAAAACAAGAAUUUUCAAUUUUGAUUAACAAGAACAUUCAUCGUAAAUAUGAAAUCCAUUUAAUCUAAAGAUCAAAGUAUUAUCGACUACAGACCAAACAAAACCAAAAUAAAUGUAUUGAGUCCAACGGAAAACAACAAUACUACAACAAAUAAACGCUAAACUGACCUACACUCCCCCUGAAUAAGUGACUAAUUAGCUUAAUAAUGAUGUCUUCAAUGAACACGGAGUCUCCCAUUUAUAUCACGCAAACAACAAUGCCGCCACUUUGUACGUUGAUCUAUUAUAUCCGCCUUUGUUGCACUUGGUACACACGUACAGCCUUUUCUCCUUCAUUGUUGAUUGACUUUACUGGGAUAGCGUUGCCUUCUUUGAUUUUGUUUUUUAGCCCCAUGAGUUGGCUUCUUUGAUUUUUUUUGCUUAGCCCCCUGAGUUGGCUUCUUUGAAGUUGGGCUACUCUGGAAAAGUCUUUUUCUCACCCUGGGAGAUGUAGUGGUUGGUGAUGUAAUCUUUGCCGAGUCUUUUGGUUUCUUUCUUGAUGACGGAUUAGUUGAUGGCGUCAUCCGC